UUCCGGUUGAUCCUGCCGGAGGUUACUGCUAUCGAGGUUCGACUAAGCCAUGCGAGUCGAAUGUAGCAAUACAUGGCGAACUGCUCAGUAACACGUGGACAACCUGCCCUUAGGACGGGGAUAAACCCGGGAAACUGGGUAUAAUACCCGAUAGGUCUCGAUUGCUGGAAUGCAUCGAGAUUUAAAGCUCCGGCGCCUAAGGAUGGGUCUGCGGCCUAUCAGGUAGUAGUGGGUGUAGCGUACCUACUAGCCUACGACGGGUACGGGUUGUGAGAGCAAGAGCCCGGAGAUGGAUUCUGAGACACGAAUCCAGGCCCUACGGGGUGCAGCAGGCGCGAAAACUUUACAAUGCUGGCAACAGCGAUAAGGGAACCUCGAGUGCCAGGUUACAAAUCUGGCUGUCGAGAUGCCUAAAAAGCAUUUCAUAGCAAGGGCCGGGCAAGACCGGUGUCAGCCGCCGCGGUAAUACCAGCUCUCCGAGUGGUGUGGAUGUUUAUUGGGCCUAAAGCAUCCGUAGCUGGCUAAGUUAGUCCCCUGUUAAAUCCACCGAAUUAAUCGUUGGAUCGCGGGGGAUACUGCUUGGCUAGGGGACGAGAGAGGCAGACGGUAUUUUCGGGGUAGGGGUGAAAUCCUAUAACCCC
rnacentral:rRNA from 1 species